rnacentral:lncRNA from 1 species
CUUGCCAUUUUUGAAAAAAAAAGUAUCGGAUGAAAUAACUUAUGCUGAAGAUACUGCUAAUUCGAUUGCACUUCUGGAUAUUUGUAAUUCAGGACCAGGAUUCCAGAAAUGUGGAAAAGAAGUUGUCACUCUGCCAAAGAUCAUAAAACGGGAAGCUGUAAGAAAUGAUUUAAACUUACAAGAACUAAAAGGGUGGAGAAGCAGAUGAGAAACCCUAGAAUUUCUUAUGAACUUUGCAUGUUUAGCUAGUUUUGUUUGAAAAGUUUAAUUGCUCUCGUCACCUAAAGCUUUUCAAAACCUAAACAGUGAUUUUUUAACUCCAAAUGGAUCCAAAAAGUAUAAUUGGAGGAAUAACCUUUACUUUUUUAAGUGACAUCUUCUGCAAACAAAUUCUCCUAAAUCAAGGGUGAGGCUUUCCUUUGUGGCCCCUCCUUGUCUUUAUGUUUCCCCACCAAUGAUUGCUCCUUGAGAUAACAUUACCAAGACCUAAGGCAAAACUCAGAUCUUAGGGGGAUGCCUUCUCUUAGGGGGAAGUCUUUUGCUUGCAGAGUAUCCAACCAGAUUGGGUUUAAUCCUAACACUAGUACUACUGGUUCCUGUUGACCUCAGGCAUCCAGAGGGCACAGGUCAUUUGCAGAGCCCCACGGGUUAUCUUCAGAUUGCCCUAAGGAUCAUCUCUGUAAAUUAAUCUAGUUUAAAUUACUGUACCGGCUAAGGCUAAUUUAGUAGUAGUUCAGAUAUGACUUAAAAGGAACCCUCACUGUUCUCCAACUCCACCGCAGUAAUUUGAACGUAAAACUUGUAGGGCAAAGACUUUUGGACACUGUCUUCUAGCCUGCCAGCAAAUUGAAGAGGAGACCUCACCUGGAACUUCAGGAAUAUGAUGCAUUAUUAAUUUCAACCAAUUGCUGACUUGGCAACUCCAAAGAAAAAUGCUAGCCUAUGUCUUGAAAAUAGUAGCUAAUACAGGUGACUUAAUGAAAAUAUCAAGUUCUGAAUUGAGGAUACAAAUUUGUAAGUGUAUUGUCAACUUUUAUCAUGCAGAGCCACCAAAGAAGCAUAUUCCAGGUUACCAGCAAGCUAGUUCAUCAUACAAGGCUAAAAUGGCCGAGGCCGGAGGAUUGGCAAAAACAAUGGUUCAGUCAAUGACUUUGCUUGAAAAUCAACUCAUUGAGAAACUUUGGGUACUUAAAGUUCUGCAACAUCUCUCAACUUCUGAAGUUAAUUGUACUUUAAUGGUGAAAGCACAAGCAGCCAGCAAAAUCUGUGCUGACCUCAAUGACCCAGAUCCCUCUGGACAGCUUCUGUUUCGUUCAACAGAAAUACUUUGGAACUUAUUGGAAAAGUCUCCCAAAGAGGAAAUCAUACAACAGCUUAGUACCUUGGAAUGUUUAGUGACUCUGAAGGAAGUUUUUAAAAAUCUGUUUAUGAGAGGUUUUAGUCAUUACGAUCGCCAGCUUAGAAAUGAUAUAUUAGUGAUCACUACAAUUAUAGCUCAAAACCUGGAAGCACCGAUGAUUGAAUGUGGCUUUACCAGAGAUUUGAUCCUAUUUGCAACUUUUAAUGAAGUUAAGAGUCAAAACCCUUUGGUAAAAGGUCUUAAGCUUUCUAAUUCCUAUGAAGAUUUUGAGUUGAAGAAAUUGCUAUUCAAUAUAAUUGUGAUCUUAUGUAAAGAUUUGCCUACUCUACAGCUAUUAAUUGAUGGCAAAGUUGUUUUGGCUUUACUUACCUAUAUUAAAAAGCCUGAGAAACACAAAGUAAUGGAAUGGUCUGCCGCACAGUACGAAGAAUUACAACUGCAUGCAAUUGCGACUUUGUCGUCAGUUGCUCCCUUGUUAAUAGAAGAGUACCUGUCAUGCCAGGGAAACGCUCGAGUCCUGGCAUUUCUAGAAUGGUGUGAGAGUGAAGAUCCCUUCUUUAGUCAUGGUAACAGUUUUCAUGGUACAGGUGGCCGUGGCAACAAGUUCGCACAGAUGCGUUACACUUUAAGACUCCUGAGAGCCAUGGUCCACCUUGAAAAUGAGACUGUGAACACAGAUCUUUGUGAAAAGGGAACAAUCCAGCAACUGAUAGGAAUCUUUAAAAAUAUUAUAAGCCAUCCUAAUGAAAAAGAAGAGGCCAUUGUUUUAGAAAUCCAGUCUGAUAUAUUACUUAUCUUAUCUGGUCUUUGUGAACAUCAUAUUCAAAGGAAGGAAAUUUUGGGAACUGAAGGAAUAGAUAUAAUUCUUCGUGUAAUGAAAACAGAUCCCAAGAAGUUACAGAGUGACUUAGGCUACAAUGUACUUCUUUUUAGUACACUGGACAGCAUUUGGUGCUGCAUUUUGGGGUGUUAUCCCUUAGAAGAUUACUUUCUUGAAAAAGAAGGCAUUUUUCUCCUGUUGGAUGUUUUGGCUUUAAACCAAAAAAAAUUCUGCAAUCUAAUACUUGGAAUAAUGGUUGAAUUUUGUGAUAAUCCCAAAACUGCGGCUCAUGUCAAUGCUUGGCGAGGGAAGAAGAAUCAGACAGCUGCUAGUCUUUUAAUUAAAUUGUGGAGAAAAGAAGAAAAAGAACUAGGAGUAAAGCGUGAUAAAUAUGGGAAGAUCAUUGAUACAAAGAAACCUCUAUUGACUGGUUUUCAAGAAGAGCAAAAAGUCAUGCCUCUGCCCGCUAACUGCCCGUCAAUUGCAGUCAUGGAUGUUGCUGAGAAUAUCAGAGCAAAAAUAUAUGCUGUGCUGGGCAAACUAGAUUUUGAAAAUUUACCUGGCCUAUCUGCUGAAGAUUUUGUCACCCUCUGUAUCAUACAUAGAUAUCUUGAUUUUAAAAUUGGUGAAAUAUGGAAUGAAAUAUAUGAAGAAAUAAAACUGGAAAACUUCAGACCAGUCACUUCAGAUAAAAGAAUUUUGGAAACUAUCACAAUAGCAUCAGAAAAUAUUGGCAAGAUGGUUGCUUCUCUACAAAGUGAGAUGAUUGAAAGCCAAGCACGCCAAGAUGUGCAAAAUGAACAAAAAGUAUACACAAAAAUACAAACAACACAUAAGCAAAGAGAAUUGGCUAAUAAAUCAUGGGAAAAUUUCUUGGCUAGAACAUCAAAUACUAAAACAUUAAAGAAAGCAAAAAGGCUGCAAGAAAAGGCUAUAGAAUCCUCUAAGUACAAUGAGCGACCACAAAAUGCAAUACUUCACCCAACGGUUAUUAAAGGCCUUAACACAACGAUUCCCUCUGGUCGAGUAGUAACAGUGGAAAGCACUCCUGUCAGAUUGCUGGGAGGACCUCUGGCUGACACAGACAUUGCUCUUAAAAAGCUGCCUAUUCGAGGAGGAGCCUUGCAGAGAGUGAAAGCAGUUACAACUGUGAAUGAGGCAAAAAAGAGUUUUCCUAUUUAGCACACUUUAGAGACUUUUUGAAAUAAAUCCUUCUUAUAAUUUUUUAGGUAAAUGUAUCUUUAUAUACAAAUGUAAAGCAGACAUUUUAGAAUAAAUAUUUUAGUAAAAUGCCAUAAAAAAUAAAAAGGACACAGGAUUUAUUUUUUGGAAAAGAUCAACACAUAAUAUCAAAAACAUCAUCAAUUUCUUUGGAAAGACUGCAAAUUCUCUUAACUGAAAUUAUGAAUCUGGUGGAUAAAUUAGGACUCUUGCAUUUGAACUACUCCAGGUACUUUAGCCAAAAAAAAAAAAAAUUAGAGGUUCUGUAUCUGUCAGAUCUAGGAAUAUUUUAGACCCUUGACUGCCCGCUCCUGAGUGACUGAUCAUGACUUUGGCCAGAUCUGUGCACUGCCUGUUGGAGCCAGAAGCAGGCCAACACCACCCAGUACAUUUAUUUGGGCGUAGUGGGGAAUGAAGGUACUGAUCUCAGAAGUAUAAACUAACACUAGGCAGCAAUAAAUAUUCUGUUCACGGUCAAAUAACAUGUAUCUGCUGGAAAAGGCAAAUGUUAAUCAUGAACUAAACAAUAAAAAUACAAAUAUAGAUGGCUUUACUCUUAUAAGUAAAAAAAACAAAGUCUAUUGCUACUACUCUUCUUUAAUGGAGACAGAAAGUUGGAUUUGUGGUGGAGAUAUUUUCUUCAGUUGGUGGUAGAGGUAUUUUGUGAAAAAAUGGGAGGUAGGAGGAAUAAUGCUGCAUACAGAGCCAAGUGUCCAUGUCAUCAGGUGCCAUUACACAGUUUCCAUCCCCUGCCUUAAGCCCUGAAACUGCUCCUCGAACCAGGAAUUCACAAAGUUAAGUUCAUAUCCAGGGCUGGGAGAGAGAAAUACCUGUUUCUUAGAAAACUGUGUUGAAAUUUGAGUCUAGAAGCUAGGCAAGGUACUAGUAAAUGUAUAUCAGCUGGCUCUCCAGGCAGGGAAAGCCCUGAUAAACUGCUCAGUGUAAAUGCUCUAUGACCAAGUUCAAGUGACCAGCAUGAUGCCACUGAAUGAAGAGUUGGAAAGAGAUCCAAGUGUCCUCCUUUCAUUACCACAGCCUCCACUGGCCUCCUAGACCCACCUUUUCCUACCAAGUUUCUCCUCUUUCCCCAUCCUCCUUUCCCACUAUACAUUCCUUUAUGGAUUCUCUAUUAUCCUAUCUGUGAGGACAGUAACAUCGUCAGUGGAGGGAGAAGUUGUGGCUGUUGUUAGUCCCCUAAGAAUGAGUUAGUUGCCAGUUUGCUGGUGGUGCCUCACCCUCAGCCAGAUGUCCAGUCCCCUUGCAGCCCCCAGUGGCAAAUGAUAUAAAUCAGCUUAUGACUGGGUUUUAUCACUAGAAUCCUUUUCUCUAUUACCACCACCCCUGAAAAGAUACAGGAACACACAAUUUGUUCCUUUUUUUUUACAGAAAGCCCUAACCAUAUAAAGAUUUCAUGCAAAGGAGAGUUACUGAGAUACAAGAAUGGAAGUUGAUAUGGCAUGUAUGAUGAGAUCCCCACACAGAAAGCCCCAGGCACACCUCUGGCUUACCUCAGAUACAUCCAGAAUCUAUAUGAAAAUUGCCCCAUUUUUUUGUUUGUUUGUUUGUUUGGGGUUUUUUUGGGUUUGUUUUUUUUUUGGUACCGGGAUCGAACUCAGGUACUUGCACUUGUGCAGCAGGCAGUGAAAGCACUGAGCUAAAUCCCCAGCCAAGACUGCCCCAUUUUGUAGACUCUUAAGUUUCCCAAGGACAGCUGGAGACUCAUUCUUUUUUUUUUAAUAACUUUAUUAUCAAACACACACACACACAUACAAAAAUUAAAACCAAAGAACAAUGCAAGGGAAAAAAUUAUAAUCAUAUUCAAAUACAGUAGAAAAAACAAACAAAACAAACUGAAAAGCACUUAAACAUUUUUUCAUAUAACUUAAAAAAGCAUCUCAAGCACCAACAAGACACCAAAGGAUGUGAUUUAAAGAUCCCCAAAAC